rnacentral:rRNA from 1 species
CGUGUAGGCGGUCAGGUAAGUGAGAUGUGAAAUGCCCCGGCUCACCCGGGGACCGGCAUCUCAUACUGCUUGGCUUGAGUACGGGAGAGGGUGUGGGAAUUCCUGGUGUAGCGGUGAAAUGCGUAGAUAUCAGGAGGAACACCGGUGGCGAAGGCGCACACCUGGCCCGAUACUGACGCUGAGGCGCGAAAGCUAGGGAGCAAACG